UUGGGAGAAAAUUUCAACUUCUCCUUAAUUAUAUUUCCCACCCAUCCCCUUGUUGCUCGAUAUCCGGCUUUCACGGCAGCUCCUUCACAUGUAUGGGUUUUAUUCAUUUUCUUAAUACAUAUCAGCUGGGUGGUAGCCAACCUUGAUGCAUAUAUACGCCAAAGACAACCCUCAGACUUGCAUUUAACCGUUACUCUGUGACUAUCAUUCUUCUUAUAUUUAUAUGUAAAGCCAUGGGCAAUUGAGUACUUAUGUAAGGCUUCACGAAACUCAGUAAAACUACUGAAUCUUUGGUCCACACCAGUAAUAGUGUUUUCCCACUGUGUAGCUGCCCUACGGUGCUU
rnacentral:lncRNA from 1 species